GCAACCGCCGAGACCGCCACCUGGCCGAUUCCUCCUCCUCCAGCCCCAGGACUCGCGGCCCAGGUCUCCCAUUUCCCCCCUCCUUUUCCUCAUCAGCCACAGGACUCGGGGCCGAAGAGGCGGAAGCUGAAGGAGGCGGGGUUCCACACCUCCGCUUAGUACAAAAUCCGGGCCAACGUUGCCGACCUACGCCUCCGCUUCGUCCAGGUUCACGAAGCUACUGAUUUCCGAAAGAGUGAUGCUGCUGGCGAGAUUCUGAGAGGCCCCCAUUCUUCUUGGUCUCCUACAGAAGAUGAAGAUCAAUGCUCAUCAUUUCUACCCUCAGGUUUUGGUUUAGCAUGUCAUCUCGGUGUCCUUGCAGACCUGCCAACCAUCGGAUAGCUUGGCAGUUAGUUCGUGUUACUAUCGACCGAGGCUUUUUAGCAGGAAUUACUUGGAAUUACUUGGCUCUGGAAAGCUUCCUGGAAGUGAUGGUGUAGUGUUGGAGAUUAAAAUCAUGUAGUACUGCAGUUUCAAUGAUGUUAUGUUACUUGAUUUUUAUUAGAUGCUUAUGCUUAUAGCACCUUGUAAAUAUGCUUGUGAUGUUUUGAUACUAAUUUUGCUUUUUGAAAUCAGACCAGAUUGUUGCAAA